GAGCUGCGGCCUGGGACAGCAGCGAAACUGGCAGGCUAGACUGGGAAGGGAGGGGGGUGGAAUCCAGGUGUAGCGGUGAAAUGCGUAGAGAUCUGAAGGAAUACCGGUGGCGAAGGCGGCCCCCUGGACAAAGACUGACGCUCAGGUGCGAAAGCGUGGGGAGCAAACAGGAUUAGAUACCCUGGUAGUCCACGCUGUAAACGAUGUCNAUUUGGAGGUNGNGCCCUUGAGGCGUGGCUUCCGGAGCUAACGCGUUAAAUCGACCGCCUGGGGAGUACGGCCGCAAGGUUAAAACUCAAAUGAAUUGACGGAACCCCCCAUAUUUUCAAACAAAU
rnacentral:rRNA from 1 species